rnacentral:rRNA from 1 species
UCGAGAAUUUUUCUCAAUGGGCGAAAGCCUGAAGGAGCGACGCCGCGUGGGGGAUGAAUGGCUUCGGCCCGUAAACCCCUGUCAUUUGCGAACAAAUUGAUUCACCUAACACGUGUAUCAUUGAUUGUAGCGGAAGAGGAAGGGACGGCUAACUCUGUGCCAGCAGCCGCGGUAAUACAGAGGUCCCAAGCGUUGUUCGGAUUCACUGGGCGUAAAGGGUGCGUAGGCGGUUGGGUAAGUUUGACGUGAAAUCUCCGGGCCUAACCCGGAAACUGCGUUGAAUACUAUCCGGCUAGAGGAAUGGAGGGGAGACUGGAAUACUUGGUGUAGCAGUGAAAUGCGUAGAUAUCAAGUGGAACACCAGUGGCGAAGGCGAGUCUCUGGACAUUUCCUGACGCUGAGGCACGAAAGCCAGGGGAGCAAACGGG